GUGAGGAAUAUUGGUCAAUGGGCGAGAGCCUGAACCAGCCAAGUCGCGUGAAGGAAGAAGGAUCUAUGGUUCGUAAACUUCUUUUGCAGGGGAAUAAAGUGCGGGACGUGUCCUGUUUUGUAUGUAUCCUGAGAAUAAGGAUCGGCUAACUCCGUGCCAGCAGCCGCGGUAAUACGGAGGAUCCGAGCGUUAUCCGGAUUUAUUGGGUUUAAAGGGUGCGUAGGUGGUUUGAUAAGUCAGCGGUGAAAGUUUGCAGCUUAACUGUAAAAAUGCCGUUGAAACUGUCGGACUUGAGUGUAAAUGAGGUAGGCGGAAUGCGUGGUGUAGCGGUGAAAUGCAUAGAUAUCACGCAGAACUCCGAUUGCGAAGGCAGCUUACUAAGCUACAACUGACACUGAAGCACGAAAGCGUGGGGAUCAAACAGGAUUAGAUACCCUGGUAGUCC
rnacentral:rRNA from 1 species